GAUUAACACAAACCUCACAGGAGAGCAAGAGAGACACAACUCCUUUCCUCCUGCUCCUUUGAUAAUGCCAGGCCACUGGAGUGCUAAACUUCAAUCUUUUGUAUACAAAAAUGCCCAAGCUUAAUUAAGAUUAUUUCUAUUCAUGCAUGAGCCAUCUGAGUCUUACCCCUUGGUUUUAACAAACAUUUUCUCCAAAGUAACUUUAGUGUAACUAAGAGUUUGGCCAUCAUCUAACUGACUGUGCACUCCAGGUCACAUCAAUUCAGCCAGCUUCCAUUUCUACUUUGUAUAAUUUAUUCUAAUGGAAAAAUGUAACUCAGUCUUUGCAGGUGAACUUCUGACUCAAGUGGAAAUCACAUUCUUCUGAGGUUCUGGAUUUUUUUCUUAUCUUAGCACUUUUAGGUCAUGAUAAAAUCCAAAUUCAGUGAUUAAAUGUAUGCUAUAUACACCCAAGACUGUAAUUUCAUGUUAGUUAUCCAGUUGUAACUAAACAUUAUGUCUUGUUGUUAAAGGGGCAAAGAGAUACUUCCUGGAGUGGAUAAGUGUGUUUUUCCAGAUAAUGGCAACCUUCUGAAACAAGCUGAACGCAGAAACUCCACAGGAGGAGGCACUUAAGGCUAGUACCAGGGAUAGUCAGCUCCCUGGGCAGAGUCAGGAGAGACAGCACUUCUUUAGGGCUGCAUUGAUGAGAGCACCCUCCACCUUAUGCAACCCCAACCCACCUGACAGGACCUCAGGAUGCAACCUGGCCACCCUGCUGUAAAAGUGCUAUUGUGGCAUGUGACAACAUAACCCCAUCACUGUGUUGGGCACCAAGGAGAAGGUUCCUCUCAAAACACCCAGAAUACCAGGUAAGAGAUGAACUCUUUUGUUAAAAACAUCCUGCUGAUAUCGAAGCAUUAACAUGGAGGGUACAUUUUCCCAAGCUGAAUUUUUUUUGUCUAAAAGAGCUGCCAGGUUGUAAUUUGUUUUAAUUAAACAAGAUGAGGCUGAUACUGGAAGGAGGCAAGCCAAUUAGUUUGGGUUGCCAAUUUUUGUUUUCCACUGUCAAAGUCUGUUAAAGGACCUUGAUAGAUUGCUGGGU
rnacentral:lncRNA from 1 species